rnacentral:lncRNA from 1 species
AUUCCAACAGAAACAGUUGUUGAUAAGAGCAACAAUGAAGGCAGAAAAAAUUUCCAAAAAAAGCCUGUUAUUGGAGGAGCAUUUAGGCAGCAAAAUAGGAAUGAUACAACUGGUGACUUCAACUUGUACGAUGGAGAAAAUAUUCAAGUGCAUGAAGAAUCAGAGUCAAUGAAUUCUGAAGAGUUAAAUAGCAAUAAUGAAGCCUCGGAUGAAGAUAGUUGUAAGAGGAGAAAGCCAAGAUACGUGAGGUUUAGACCUAAACUUGAUAUGGCCGAUCCAAAAUUCUUUGCUGGGCUGUUGUUUGAUGAUAAACGGAUAUUUAAACGAGCUGUUGACUAUUAUGGAGUGAAAUGGGGU